CACAGUGUGGGUUCAACUUACAGAAACUCAAUAUACUACCUCAUAAACCAGAUCAAUUAAAAGGCGAUUAUUCACUUUACAGGCAAUGGCUUUGCCUCUGCACAGGAUUCCUUUAAGGAGUAGUUCCCUAGGGCAUUUAAGAAUUAGCUUGUAGAUCAUGAGUUUUUGAUGGAAGGCAUAGGGAGGCAGAAAAACAGGAGCUGUAGUCUGCUGGACAUCCAGGAGGAAUGAAGGAAAAAGACGAAGGAUCUCUGACAUUAUGUAAAGCAACGGGGAAAACAGGAUGGAUUUCCCAAAUUAAAUUUACAUGCAACUUUGCAUAACAUUAUAAAAUAUCAGCUUUUUGCAAAAACCUAACAUUUACUACUAUGUGCUGAACCAGUUUAUUUACAUGAAUCCUCACGAUAGCCGUAAAAAUAGAUGUUUUUAUCCUUACCUGUAGAUGAGUAGACUGAGGCCCAGGAUGGGAAUACACUUGUCAAAGGUCACAGAUGUUUCAAGUUCACAUUACUCUGCCCUGUGGGGGAAGAAGGACCAUCAGAGGUUGGAGGAAGGUGACAUUCAAGCUGCUGAGCUAGAGUUUGAGGAUUGACACCUGGUUGCGGACAGAGAAAAGGUCGACACCUCCAUAGUGGUUGUUCACGGAAGAAGUGCUCUGAGAGAGACAGUAUUAUCCAGGAACAAUCUGUAGCUCUUCUGAUGUUUUGCCAAAGGACCUGGAGCCCCCUCUCUGGAGGAAUCUGAUCUGACUGCCUCCAGCUGCUCAUGGGGUGAGUGGAACUGGUUUUCUGGGAGCCCUGGGAGGAGGGCAGAGG
rnacentral:lncRNA from 1 species